rnacentral:rRNA from 1 species
CAGCCGCCGCGGUAAUACAGAGGGUGCAAGCGUUAAUCGGAAUUACUGGGCGUAAAGCGUGCGCAGGCGGUUAUAUAAGACAGAUGUGAAAUCCCCGGGCUCAACCUGGGAACUGCAUUUGUGACUGUAUAGCUAGAGUACGGCAGAGGGGGAUGGAAUUCCGCGUGUAGCAGUGAAAUGCGUAGAUAUGCGGAGGAACACCGAUGGCGAAGGCAAUCCCCUGGGCCUGUACUGACGCUCAUGCACGAAAGCGUGGGGAGCAAACAGGAUUAGAUACCCCCGUAGUCCUUGUCUCUUAUAC